GGCCGCGGUAUACUAACCGUGCAAAGGUAGCGCAAUCACUUGUUCUCUAAAUAAGGACCAGUAUGAAUGGCAUCAUGAGAAUCAACUUGUCUCUCAUAAUAAUUCUAUGAAACUGAUCUUCCAGUACAAAAGCUGGAAUACACACAUAAGACGAGAAGACCCUGUGGAACUUCACAGUUUUCAGUUGGGGCGACUUUGGAGACAAACAAAACCUCCAAACAGACCCAAUAAAAUUGACUAACGAACCAAGUUACCCCAGGGAUAACAGCGCAAUCUUCUUCAAGAGUCCCUAUCGACAAGAGGGUUUACGACCUCGAUGUUGGAUCAGGAUACCCAAAUAGUGCAGCAGCUAUUAACGAGUUCGUUUGUUCAACGAUUAAAAUCCUACGUGAUCU
rnacentral:rRNA from 1 species